rnacentral:rRNA from 1 species
AACGAACGCUGGCGGCAGGCUUAACACAUGCAAGUCGAGCGCCCCGCAAGGGGAGCGGCAGACGGGUGAGUAACGCGUGGGAACGUACCCUUUGCUACGGAAUAGCUCCGGGAAACUGGAAUUAAUGCCGUAUGUGCCCUACGGGGGAAAGAUUUAUCGGCAAAGGAUCGGCCCGCGUUGGAUUAGCUAGUUGGUGGGGUAAUGGCCUACCAAGGCGACGAUCCAUAGCUGGUCUGAGAGGAUGAUCAGCCACAUUGGGACUGGGACACGGCCCAAACUCCUACGGGAGGCAGCAGUGGGGAAUAUUGGACAAUGGGCGCAAGCCUGAUCCAGCCAUGCCGCGUGAGUGAUGAAGGUCUUAGGAUUGUAAAGCUCUUUCACCGGUGAAGAUAAUGACGGUAACCGGAGAAGAAGCCCCGGCUAACUUCGUGCCAGCCGCCGCAGUAAGAC